rnacentral:rRNA from 1 species
AGAGUUUGAUCAUGGCUCAGAUUGAACGCUGGCGGCAUGCUUUACACAUGCAAGUCGAACGGCAGCACAGGGAGCUUGCUCCCGGGUGGCGAGUGGCGCACGGGUGAGUAAUACAUCGGAACGUGUCCUGUUGUGGGGGAUAACUGCUCGAAAGGGUGGCUAAUACCGCAUGAGACCUGAGGGUGAAAGCGGGGGAUCGCAAGACCUCGCGCAAUUGGAGCGGCCGAUGCCCGAUUAGCUAGUUGGUGAGGUAAAGGCUCACCAAGGCGACGAUCGGUAGCUGGUCUGAGAGGACGACCAGCCACACUGGGACUGAGACACGGCCCAGACUCCACGGAGGCA